CAAAUAUAGAAAAACCCUUUAAUGAGUAGGUGUGUCCUAACUUUUGACUGGUACUGUCCUCGUUCAGCCAUGACUCUGAGAAACAGGAUAUUACAGUUUCAGGUCCCGUUGAUAUGAUCGUCUCAAAUGAACCUCAUCCAGUUUCUUCUUGCCCACGUAAUCUCGUCAGGGAGCCAGCUCGCUUGCCAGAGCUGCCAACUCGUUGAAGUAGACAUUUUAGUCCAAAUCGAGGUUAGUGAUCGUUGUUCUGAUGUUCGGGUCGUAGGAGAAUUGGUCAGCAGCCGGUAAGAUAUAUAUGAGAGAGAGAGAGAUCAUCAUACUGAAACAGGAAAGGGGGAGAGAGAUGGGAGGGAGGGAAGGAGAGAGAGGUGGAGGGACCUGGAUCUGGGUAUGGGCCGGCAGCUUCUCCGGCUGGUGCCAAAAAUGACAUUCUUUGGCAGGGCACAGGGCUGCUGUAAAGCACUACUCAGGAACACAAUGUUCGGGACGCUGGAUGCAGCAAAGAAGCACUCUUAGAUUAAACAAGACCAAAGCGAUAACUGCUGAGCUCUAAUGGAAAACAACACAGUCGAGGCAUUACUACUGUUGAAACAUUACUGUAACAUUACAGGAACAGUCACUUGCCGAAGUUGUCCUCUUUUUUUGGUCCACUUUGCGGAGUGAUUGAUUGACACUUCCUCCAGCCAAUAGGCCACUCAAUCUCCUGGUUGUGGUCCUGGCCCAACAGAGGGGAGAUGAGAGUUAUUCUGCCUGCAAUGCCAAGGGUAAUGAGAACAACGCCAUCACUGUAUCUGGCUUCCGGGGUCUGUGCCAGUAUAGGGGCCUCUCUCGCCAUCCAUGGCCGAGCUCCCCUCACCCUCAGUCAGCCACAGAUGGGUGAUGUGUCCCCUGGGUGUGGUAGUGGAGAACCAAGAGACUGAGCUGAGACAUCCGGCCAGCUCCUCUAAUGUGCUGUCAGAUAAUUACAUAAAAUGGCCGUCAUUAUAGCAUCUGAACAUCCAUUUGUCUUAUUAAAUGGACAUUUGACAGACUUCCAAUAGCAAUCCAUUAGCUUAUUCAGAUGUCUUGUGAAGAGGCAGGUAGAACUAUUGUUGCAUGCAGGUGUAUUGUUUGUCCACUAGAGAGCAGUGUGUGUUGGACUGUAUUGUAUUUUUUUGCCAGCUCAGACUUGAUUUGUUAACUUCCUGUAUAUUUGUUAUGACUGGUGGAUGAUCAGGGGAAUGUGUCAGGGAUUGACUGGUGGAUUAUCAGGGGAAUGUGUCAGGGAUUGACUGGUGGAUUAUCAGGGGAAUGUGUCAGAGAUUGACUGGUGGAUUAUCAGGGGAAUGUGUCAGGGAUUGACUGGUGGAUUAUCAGGGGAAUGUGUCAGGGAUUGACUGGUGGAUUAUCAGGGGAAUGUGUCAGGGAUUGACUGGUGGAUUAUCAGGGGAAUGUGUCAGGGAUUGACUGGUGGAUUAUCAGGGGAAUGUGUCA
rnacentral:lncRNA from 1 species